CCUGGCGAUGGGGGAGGCUGGCUUUGCCCGGAUCUGCUCAUGAAGCUCCGGGAUGAAUCCUUCCUUUCUGGAGGGAGGCACUGCAUGGAGCAUGCGCCAGCUUCUUACUGAGCACCAGCCGAGGGGGUCUGGUUCCAGGAUGCCGCAGGUCCCCACCUUGCAGGGAAGUCUGGAUACCCAGGAGGAGGGCGGUGGCCUUACAGGCCAAGGUCUUUCACUCAUCGAGUGCAAAGCACAGGCGAGGCACCUUUUAAGAACAUCACCUUAUUUAAUCUUCAUAAAAGCCCUGUGAGGUGAAACGGGGCUACGAAGAACAGAGGGUGUGAACAUGGGGAGAGUUUGCCCGGUCUAGUGUUGGUGAUGAAACAAAAUGAGGUGAAUUCCCAGGUCCUCAGCAUGAAGAUACUAACAGGUGUCUAUGUUGAGAUUUUUGAGGAUCACAUUGUCAUUUAGAAAAUGCCUGAACAACCAAUAAAAAGUAAGGUCCA